rnacentral:rRNA from 1 species
UGAGCAAUCUGCCCUUCACAUCGGAAUAACCAUUGGAAACGAUGGCUAAUACCGAAUAUGACUUCGGAUCGCAUGAUCUGAAGUGGAAAGCUCCGGCGGUGAAGGAUGAGCUCGCGGCCUAUCAGCUUGUUGGUGAGGUAAUAGCUCAUCAAGGCGAUGACGGGUAGCCGGCCUGAGAGGGUGACCGGCCACACUGGGACUGAGACAGGCCCA